rnacentral:lncRNA from 1 species
UUGGACUGUCCUAUACAAGGACCCAUAUAUAGAGUGUGAUCAUAGAAUCAUGUGCUCAUAGAUCACAGAGUCUGUGUUUUUGGACCGGUCUAUUCUUAAUGGCUGUGGGGAAAUAAGGCAACUUACUCAACUUCAUCAGUGGCCUUACUAAAGUGGUAGAAAAAAUUUCUAUUUUAGAGUUUAAACUUUAGCCAAAAGCUUGUUACUUAAAAGCCAAAAAACAAACCAAAAAAAGCUUAAAUACUUUGACACUGUUUUUAUUUUUCAGCUCUAUGCAACUCAUUUUCAUCUAGCAGUACGUCUCCAAAACCUGAAUCUUCACAAGAAAGCCGUACAGCAAUUAACCAGUGUUGCAAGGAUUGCCUCUGUAAUAAAGUUGUGUUGUUUCCUCUGGGUAUUGAUCACACUUGUACAAAUGGACAGACAUUAAAAAUACAUCCGCUGGUGAGAAGACAAAUUGACGCAACCCUCUUGAAAAGCAAUCUGGCAAUAUGA